rnacentral:lncRNA from 1 species
AAAAUUACAGGAUAUUUAAUUCUGGAAUUGAAUUCAAGCCUGUCUCUGAUCUGUUGAUUGGUUUAUAUAUUUCUUUUAUCUCUUGCCAGCCCCUGGGAAUGUGAUUGAGUAAAAUCUGGAGAACCUCAGAAGUGYGGUUAAUUUAUCAGAGAACUGCAUCAAGGUUGACUUACAGAAAGUUACCCACUACUGAAUACUGGUAUUGCAUCAUAAAAGAUGAAGAUGUGGUGCAGGGGCUAAAAGAAAUGCAAAACGUGGAGGACACAGACAGUGUAUCAGAUCCGAGCAGCCUGUCAAUACAUGUCCUCCAGAGCUUUCUAGCAUCCUGGAUUCUCUCCAGAAGCGUGGAAGCACGUUCAACCAGACAUUACUGAGACACAUUCCAGAAAUACUGUAUGGACAGAAGGGAGAAGCGCAAAGUACCGUUUGGGUGUUUUGGAUGCAUUCCCUUUUGCUGUCAAGGUAAACCGUGUCCUAACCUUGUAGAAACACUUGC